AUUGAACGCUGGCGGCAGGCCUAACACAUGCCAGUCGAACGGUAACAGAAAGCAGCUUGCUGCUUUGCUGACGAGUGGCGGACGGGUGAGUAAUGUCUGGGAAACUGCCUGAUGGAGGGGGAUAACUACUGGAAACGGUAGCUAAUACCGCAUAACGUCGCAAGACCAAAGAGGGGGACCUUCGGGCCUCUUGCCAUCGGAUGUGCCCAGAUGGGAUUAGCUAGUAGGUGGGGUAACGGCUCACCUAGGCGACGAUCCCUAGCUGGUCUGAGAGGAUGACCAGCCACACUGGAACUGAGACACGGUCCAGACUCCUACGGGAGGCGGCAGUGGGGAAUAUUGCACAAUGGGCGCAAGCCUGAUGCAGCCAUGCCGCGUGUAUGAAGAAGGCCUUCGGGUUGUAAAGUACUUUCAGCGGGGAGGAAGGGAGUAAAGUUAAUACCUUUGCUCAUUGACGUUACCCGCAGAAGAAGCACCGGCUAACUCCGUG
rnacentral:rRNA from 1 species